rnacentral:tRNA from 1 species
GCCACCGUAGUGCAGAGGUAAGCAUGUCCGCCUAUGACGCUGACUCGCCUGGGUUCGAAUCCUGGCGGGACCA